rnacentral:rRNA from 1 species
UACGAAGGGGGCUAGCGUUGCUCGGAAUCACUGGGCGUAAAGCGCACGUAGGCGGGUCUUUAAGUCAGGGGUGAAAUCCUGGAGCUCAACUCCAGAACUGCCUUUGAUACUGAAGAUCUUGAGUUCGGGAGAGGUGAGUGGAACUGCGAGUGUAGAGGUGAAAUUCGUAGAUAUUCGCAAGAACACCAGUGGCGAAGGCGGCUCACUGGCCCGAUACUGACGCUGAGGCACGAAAGCGUGGGAGCAAACAGGG